GACGAACGCUGGCGGCGUGCUUAACACAUGCAAGUCGAACGGAAAGGCCCUGCUUUUGUGGGGUGCUCGAGUGGCGAACGGGUGAGUAACACGUGAGUAACCUGCCCUUGACUUUGGGAUAGCUUCAGGAAACUGGGGCUAAUACCGGAUAGGAGCUCCUGCUGCAUGGUGGGGGUUGGAAAGUUUCGGCGGUUGGGGAUGGACUCGCGGCUUAUCAGCUUGUUGGUGGGGUAGUGGCUUACCAAGGCUUUGACGGGUAGCCGGCCUGAGAGGGUGACCGGCCACAUUGGGACUGAGAUACGGCCCAGACUCCUACGGGAGGCAGCAGUGGGGAAUAUUGCACAAUGGGCGGAAGCCUGAUGCAGCAACGCCGCGUGCGGGAUGACGGCCUUCGGGUUGUAAACCGCUUUCGCCUGUGACGAAGCGUGAGUGACGGUAAUGGGGAAAGAAGCACCGGCUAACUACGU
rnacentral:rRNA from 1 species